rnacentral:lncRNA from 1 species
AUAGUUUAAUAUUUAUAAGGAUUCAAAAUAUACAGAGUUACACAACAAAAGGGUGAUCAAACUAUAUGUAUGGAGACAUAUAGCUGAGAGCGUAUUUCUUAAUUAAGUCUAAAACAACUCUAAAAAUAUAAUGCUGCCAUAGGGAAGAAAGUACGACAGAAGGUGAUCAUCCGAAACAACAAUCCCCGCCAACACCAAGCCAUCCUCCGGCCAUGCUUAUCCUACACAUUUAGAAAUAUAUGCAAGGCGUGAGUACAUAAUUGUCGCAGCCCGGUUCCGACACUAGUAAUAGCGGGGACCGAGUAUCGAUACGACUAAUAAAAGAAAGGGGAAAUAUAGAAAGAAUACAUAGAUCAACAGCGGAAGCUCACGAAGAAACAUGCUAAGGAAAGAUUAUCAUAAUUCAUCAAAAGGGUAUAUCCGUCAACAUCGUCAUAACUAGAUAAAUAUCGGGAAUCUCAACAUGAAAAGCAAAACAAGUGUAACUCAAUUUUUAUGUAGAGUCAUAAUAUUCAGAGUGUGACAACAAAAGGUGAACCGACUAUAUGUAUGAAGACACAUAAUCGUGAGUAAAAUGCUUGAUUUAAUACAACAUAACUUCAUAUCUAAACUCUAUCGACAAAACAAACAUACGAUAGAGAAAGAAAAUGUCAACCCGAAACAUUCCCCACCAGCACCGCACCAUACUCCCCCUCCGCUUAUCCU